GGGCUUCUAACUCAGUGGUAGAGUGCUUGCUUAGCAUGGAUUCACAGAUAACAAUCUGCCUCCGCUUGCAUGAAGUCCAGGGUUCAAUUCCCUGG
rnacentral:tRNA from 1 species